AGAGUUUGAUCAUGGCUCAGAUUGAACGCUGGCGGCAUGCCUUACACAUGCAAGUCGAACGGCAGCAUGAUCUAGCUUGCUAGAUUGAUGGCGAGUGGCGAACGGGUGAGUAAUACAUCGGAACGUGCCCUGUAGUGGGGGAUAACUAGUCGAAAGAUUAGCUAAUACCGCAUACGACCUGAGGGUGAAAGUGGGGGACCGCAAGGCCUCAUGCUAUAGGAGCGGCCGAUGUCUGAUUAGCUAGUUGGUGAGGUAAAGGCUCACCAGGGCGACGAUCAGUAGCUGGUCUGAGAGGACGAUCAGCCACACUGGGACUGAGACACGGCCCAGACUCCUACGGGAGGCAGCAGUGGGGAAUUUUGGACAAUGGGCGAAAGCCUGAUCCAGCAAUGCCGCGUGUGUGAAGAAGGCCUUCGGGUUGUAAAGCACUUUUGUCCGGAAAGAAAUGGCUCUGGUUAAUACCUGGGGUCGAUGACGGUACCGGAAGAAUAAGGACCGGCUAACUACGUGCCAGCAGCCGCGGUAAU
rnacentral:rRNA from 1 species